CUAGAGCCAUGACUUGAUUAGCUCAGGUUAGCAUGAAGACUUCAAACUCAGCUCAUCUCGCUCAGACAGAACACAAUGUGCAUUUAGGAGGAGGUAGCUAGCUGUGAUAGCUACGAUAGCUUACAAAGUCAGUGGAAGACAGGAAGAAACAUUAUCCACAACUGUUCAGAUAAAAAGGAGGAGGAAUAGAGAGCCCGGAGGGAAAUAAAGAAAGACAAGAGUUUGUGCAAAACAAACCUGACCAGUCGGUUGUCCGUAACUUGAGGCGAUGCAGGGAAGAGGAUCAGGGGAACAUGCUCUUGGAUGAGGGCAGCAUCAGCCUCUUAGCGAACUGCAUUCUGGCUGACAUGUGGUUCCAGCCAGUCAGCAGAAUGCAACCUGGCUGGCCUGCUCUUUCUGCUCAGCACAUCACAGGUAACCGGCCUCAUCUUAUGUGACAUGGCUGACACCGCCUUGAGAGCUGCGAAGGGGACCCUGCCGAUGAUUAAUUCAAGCUCAGAAAACACGAUGAGGGAUUAGGUCUCUUUGUUUACCCCCGCAGACGUCUCUCCUAAACUCAGGAUGCCUCCCUGGUAUGACACGGGGCCGUGUAAUAAGGCUGAAUCAUCGGCAGUGAGCGAUGUGGAUGUGAAAACAAGUAGAGGCCAGACCGAGGAGUGUGAAUCCAGACAAGUGACUCAGCACUACAACUGUUUAUCUGCGUGCAGUUCGGUCGAGGUGCCAGCACACUGAGCGGCGGCUUCGAAUGUCCAAAUGUUUGUGCUUGCUGUAACUUUUUAGCACAAAGCGUGGUUUCGGUUUUCAUCCAACGAGCUCAGUCAGAAAGAAAAGAAAAUGUUCUUUUGUCUCUGAGACAUGAGACUUGAUCCAGAUAUAGCUCACGAAACCUGAAAUGGGUCUGAUUGAUGUGCAGGGGUGGGUGAGUGGGGGGGGGGGACAAUGUGUAACGAGUACUUUUCCUUUUUUGAAACUCAGCUUCUAGUCUUUACUGGAACAUAUUUUCAAACCAGUAAUCUACUUUUCACAUUGACACAUUUGCCAUUUUACAUGCCGUCUGCUCUAAAUGUGGGCACUGGGUGUACGAGAACUCGCAAAAACCUCCUGCCUUUUAACCACAGUGGGAUGAUGACAGGGGCAAAACUAAGAACAUGAGGCAGCUUCCAGCAUCAAUCCAUAACCAUAAAUAGCCACACUUUCUUGAUGUUCCUCCAGAAAUACACAGAAAAUCUCCUUUUAACCUCCACAAGCACUUACUGUAGAGGAAAAUGUAGCUAGCUAGGUAACAUUAACGAUGUUAGUUUUUCAUGUGUAACACUAAUCAUUGAUAUCUUGCAGCUAGUGUUCUUGAUUUUAAAUUGCUGGCCUUUAGAAAGUAGUUGACCUAAUGCAAUUCAAACAACGUUAAUAUUACUUUCAUAAUUGAAAUUCAAAUAUAAUGUAAGAAACCUGCCUCUCUGUGUACUAUUCACAUAUCUCAAGAACUGUCAUGAUCCCUCUGACGUGAUCUCAUGGGGAAGCAGACCUAAAUAAGAUGGAGAUUAGCACGUUGGAACAACUUGCAGAAAGAAAAUACCAUAAGCAGAUGGUUAAAUGGGUCUAGAUGAGUGGGAAGAUGCAUCAACACAGGUUUUCUAUUCUUCAGCAAGAACUGGAGGUGAGAUUUUACACAGUUGUGUGCUAGCUAAAUUUAGCCCCCCCCCCCCCCCCAACGGGCUGGGCUCAACAACGCAGGGCUUGUCAUUCGCUAGCUGUUUGUUAGCUUAGCAUCCUAAAGUGCCUGCUGGAGAUGACGUGGCUCAUUUAUCGCCGUAACAGCAGGAGAGCAUCGAAGGGCAAAUAGAAUUACAUUUUUUUUAUCUACCUUCUUUCAGAGGCUCUACUGGGGUCCUUGUGGCUGUCGCUGUUGGAUGCCAUGUUUUUAUUACACCAUGCUAGGCACAGAAGAAUACAUUUUGCUGAAUGAAAAAGGUUACUCUGUGGUUUCAGUUACCUCAGAUUUAUUGUGUAUUAUAAUGGAAUCCAUUAAUCUUGUCGAUCUGCAAUCUGCUGUCAGAUCGGACGUCUUGAUUGUUGUUUUCAUUGAGGACCAUGGGCAAAAGUUCUUUGAUUCAAGUGUUUUACAAAAUAAAUGGAAAGCAAAGA